AGCGCCGUGUAUUAGUUGGUUAAAUCACCUGUGUUGUAUACAGGAGAUUACGAGUUCGAAUCUCAGCGGCGCCU